rnacentral:lncRNA from 1 species
UAUCCUCAAAUGUAGUUAUGUUCAGGUAGUCUUUAAAUAAUAACUCAUUAAUUGAUCAAGUGCUCAGAGAGUUUUUAACUUUUAAAUAAUAAAAUACGGAACUUCUCAUAAUGAUAUAUAGGAGAUUUUAUGGCGCUUAAUUGCUUCUAUGUGGCCUCAACAUCAUGUCUACGUUUAUAUUCUUCUAAAACAAUUGAACACCAAAAAUCAAAUGUAUGUAUUUUUUGACUCCCGAGAAUCAAUCUUGUGUAAAAUGGUUUAGAUCUUCUUGAAUCUAAGACAUUUUCUCCUUAUUAAGCAAUUUACUCUAUCUAGCUAAGCCAUUUGGAUCCUCAACUUAUCAAGGUCUCUUAUUGCAAUAUAAGUCCCUUAAGAUUUCAUCAUGACUCUUUAAUCUCUUUUGAAACCUCAUACGCAGGUUUACAGUUUUCUAAGGCUCCUACAAACUUAAAAAAUGGUGUAUCUCUUUUCUAACUUCCAACACUAAAGACGGAUUUAUUUGGAAUUCAUCCAAUUAGUUAUUACAAUAUAUAUUAACCUUAAAGAUAACAAUCACUUAUCUCCAAAAUAGAAUCAUGACCCCUCGAACGUUCCAUUUUAUGCUAAUAUUUUCCUGUGCUUCAUAAAUACUCCCAAGUUGGUUUCUUUUCUUCCAAAUACCACCAAAAUAAGCUUUAUUUGAACUUGUCUUCCAAUCUCAUAUAUGCAAAACUUAAGUGGUCUGGCUAUAACAAAAUCCGAAACUCUUUAUUUCACUUUACAUAGAUCUUCAACAAGGUAUACUACUAAUUAGAAAACUUAUCAAUGUAUGGAUGUCUCCCAAAAUUACAAUAAUUGAUCUGGUUCUUCUAAGUCUUUAAGUAUGAAAUUUCUUUAUUUCCUUCUAUUGUUAUCCUUUCAUUUAUUUUUAUAGAUGUUCCAGAGAAAGUUCUAAAAUGUCUCCUGAAUUCUAUAUAUUCCCAUGGUAGGGCAAUUACACCUGACAAUUAUCUUUUAUUAUUCUAUUAUCCAAACAUAUUUCCAAGGGUUUAUCUUUUUUACGGGGUUAACAUAAUGGCUAAAGAUUUCUUCUUCCAGUUAUAAGGGUGCCAUCUUAUUCAACUAAAUUCUCAAUUGGCAUAUACU